GACGGAGGAUGCAAGCGUUAUCCGGAAUGAUUGGGCGUAAAGCGUCCGCAGGUGGCAGUUCAAGUCUGCUGUCAAAGACCGGGGCUUAACUUCGGAAAGGCAGUGGAAACUGAACAGCUAGAGUAUGGUAGGGGCAGAGGGAAUUCCUGGUGUAGCGGUGAAAUGCGUAGAGAUCAGGAAGAACAUCGGUGGCGAAGGCGAUCUGCUGGACCAUAACUGACACUCAGGGACGAAAGCUAGGGGAGCGAAUGGG
rnacentral:rRNA from 1 species